CCAUCUUGGCCGAAAUCAUCAUGUACUGAUGUAGAGACUAACGGGUGUUGUGAACAAUGACGCAAAGAGUUUCGAAAUGAAUAACAUUAAACUGGAUUUGGAGUUUCUGGAUUUAUCUGAUGUACCUGAAAAUGAAGUAGAAGAAAUUAAUUUUCUUCUUCAUCCUCCUGGUGGUGUAAAAUACAUUGAGCUUCCAUGGGAUGCACCUGCAAAUUUCUUGCCUUUAGUAGAUAAUCGGACUACAAAUAACAUCAUAAGUGAACAGACUCAAAAUGCAAUAGAAAACUCUAAUCAUUCUCCAAGACUGAACCCAUGUGAGGCUCCUAGAUUUCAUCAUCAAACUGGUUCUCCAGCUAAUCAUCCAGUGGUACCUCCACCCUUUAUAUCUCCAAGUGGGCCUACAAGUGUUCCUCAUCUGGUUGCCUCCCAAGCUUUCCCUUUCAUACCUUGUUCUUAUACAUUGCUUCCUUCUCACUUUCAACAGUUAAACUCGCCAGUGUUUACAAGCAGUUUUGAUCAGCAAGAAGUUUCUCUUGUUCAACGUACCACUCUACCCCCUGCUUUUCCCACUCAUACUACCAGCAGGGAUUGCAACUCUGCUCAGCCAGCUAAACCCAACAAAACUUUAAACCCACCAAUAAAUGAGCACAUUGCUGGUGAAAAGCAGAGUAACCAGCAUAAGGAAUCGGUUGACUAUUAUAGCUCAGUUAACAAGUCAAAAGAACAGCAGUCAAAUCCCCAAGGAUCUGUUUUUGAAGAUUCUCUGCCUACAGGAUGCUCAAGUUUGGUUCCAGUGCCUUUUACUGUAUCUGCUUCCAGUUUUCCUAGCUCCACAGACACCAUUUGUAUGACAGAGACUGCAUCCGGUUAUCCACCUGGUAUGAGCCCUGUUCAUUAUCAGCACCAAAGGCCUUCCCCACCAAUAUUAUAUCCAGUUCCAUUUAUACCACCUGCAUAUCCUAGAUUUAUCCAUACUCAGUCAUCUCAAGUUGUUAGUGGUUAUUUCAACCGAGGAAAAGGAGAGACCAACAGUAAUGAUAGUGGUGCAAGAAUCACUUCAGUCGUCCCAUGCAUUGAUGGUGGAAUUCAAGAGUUACACGUUACUCCCACCUGUAGUUCCAGUAAUACAAGAAGUGUGGAGAUUGAUUUGUUUAAUCAGCAGGACCAACUAAGCAAGGAUUCUAAUAUGUUUAAAUCCCACAUUAAUACCCUUCAUAUUGUGCAACCAGAAAACCAGAACAGUCAAAACAUACCUACAAUAAAAACGUUUACAAGGAAAGAAAGCAAUUGUAAUAAUUGUGUAAAAACUGAUCAAGGGCUAUUAUCCUGUAAUGGACAUGAGUUUGAUAAAUUGUUACCAGCUGAUGAAACUGUUAAUUCAAGUGCUAUAAAAGAUAGUGAUAGAUGCACAGUUGUGUUAGAACAAACUCUGGCAAAUAAUGUGUCUUUAGCUGAUUCAGAAAACUCACCAUUUCUUACAGGGAAAAAACCUGAUGUUAGUUUUACAACAUCAGACUUUUUAGUUACAGAUACACACCCUAAAACUUCAGUUGGCAUAGAAAAUGAACUCGGAGAAUUAUAUGAUGCUAUAUCUGCUGCCCCAUCAGGUGUAACUAAAGUGACAUCUGAUAAUGUGUGGCAAAGACGGUCAGGUGCAGAUUUAUUUAAGAACCAGAGUGUUUGUCCUGCUACUGUACUGGAAAUUGAAAAAGAAAGACUUCCUUCUGUUUCUCCCAAGACAACACCAAUAAAACAUGAAAAAAAAGAUCCAGAAACUAUGGAGAAUUCUAAAAUUGUGAACGCUGAAGAUGAUGUUUUAGCCUACAAGUUAGCUAAGAUUUUUGAAAGUACACAUCUAAACCAUAGCAUUGCAUUUCUACAGCCUCGUGGACUUACUAAUCGAAGUAAUUGGUGCUAUGUUAAUGCUACAUUGCAAGCCUUAUUGGUAUGUCCUCCUUUGUAUAAUCUUCUAAAACAGUUAACUAGCGUAUCAGGACAGAACCGUGAGAAGUCAUCAACCCCAAUCUUGGAUAGCCUAAUGGAGUUCGUACAAGAAUUUCCAAUCAUCCCUCAAGGUAACAGGAAUAAAAGAAAAGAAGAUCUUGUUAUUGGACUUUCUUUUGAGCCAGUAAACAUAUAUAAAAUGUUGAAUGUGAUAAGAUCAGAAUGUGUGAAGGGUCAUCAGGAAGAUGCUGAGGAGUUUUUAAGUUGUAUUUUAAAUGGUUUGCAUGAGGAAAUGCUAGCAGUUCUACAAAUUAUAAGAAAAGAUGAAGUGAAAAACACUGGUAAUGAAGAAAUGCCAACUAAUGGCCAUUUGGAAGAAGAUAAAGAUGAAGGAUGGCAGGUGAUGGGACCAAAAAAAAAAAGUAUUUUGACCAGAUCUGCAAAAUUUUCUCGGUCCCCAAUUUCUGACAUUUUUGGUGGCCAGAUACGAUCAGUUCUGACAACAGGAAAUGAAUCUUCUGCUUUUCUACAACCAUUUUUUACGCUACAACUUGAUAUUCAGAAAGGGUUGUUUCAGUGCUAUCUGCUUUAAAUCAUCUUACAAGCAAGGAGCUUGUUCAAGGUUACACAUCUGCUAAAACUAAGCAAGAGGUUGAAGCAUCACGGAGGAUCACCAUAGAAGAAUUACCCUUGGUUUUAGUUCUUCAUUUUAAAAGGUUUGUGUACGAUAAGAAUGGAGGGUCCAAGAAAGUAGUCAAGUGUACAGAAUACUCGGUUACCUUAGAACU
rnacentral:misc_RNA from 1 species